rnacentral:lncRNA from 1 species
CUGGCCAAUGGGAAGCAGGUGGAAGUGACCUCACUGCUUCCAGGCUUGACCUAUAAUAACUCCUUGGAAACUUGUACUUUUUCUUCCCCUGUCAGAUGUCUGGACUUAAAGGAUCCAGCAGAGGAUUUGGAGGCUCCAGGGCAGCUUCCUGAGCCAGAACAGACCGAGAGAGACUCCUGGGGAGCUUUGAAAAAAAGAAAUUUAUUUCUCAUGGUUCUGGAAGCUGGGAAGUCCAAGAUCAAGGAAGCAGCAAAUUCAAUGUCUGGCCAGAGUCCCGCCUCCUCAUAGAUUCAUGGAUAUUCUUCUUGCUGUUUUCUCACAUGGUGGAAGAAGCAAGGCAGCUUCUGGGGUCACUUUUAUAAGGGCACUCAUGCAAUUAUGCAGGCUCUGUCUUCAUGUCCAAAUCAUCUCCCAAAAGACCCCAUCUCCUAACAAAUGAAUGCUGGGGUGACACAGACAUUCUGACCACAGCAGGAUUUGAAUCUAGCCUGCUGUAACCCAAAGCCUGUGUUACUAAGAACUUUGCUAUAUGGCAUGGGUCUUUCUGAGCCCUACCUGCCCUACAUCCUCUUCUAUAUCAAAAAUUUCACUUUUUUUUUUCAAAUAUUUUAUUUUUUGUAGAGAUGAGGAGGUCUUGAACUCCUGCCCUCAAAUGAUUCUCCUGCCUCGGCCUCCCAACGUGCUGGGAUUACAGACGUGAGCCACCUUGCCCAGCCAAAAAUUUUCAUUGUUUCUAACCUGGAUUCCUCUUCAAACCCUUCUAGGCAAUGUUUAUCCCACUGCAAGGAUGAGUUGCAUUUGCAACAUUUCUGAAUGUAAUUAUAAGUUAUUUCCAUAAUGGCUGAAUAGUCUGAAAAAAAGUUUUUUUUGCUGUGUGCUAUGUAGGCACAUUGAAUAAUAUUUAAACAAUAAAGGUUACCUCUUAUGUACUACAGCUGUGUUUUAUGCUAAUAACCAGAAUCAUUUAAUCAUUAUGAGCUAAUGACCUGCAAAAUUUCAUUUAAAAAAUGAAGCCAUAUCUGGGUCUCUGGAAAGCAAAACUGGAUAAAAAAUGAGGAAAGUCAAUGUUCAAUUUGUAUUCUUGAGUGGAGAGCAGCCGUAUAGUCUGUGCAGUUCCAUACCAAGUUUGAGCAUUUAAACAGAGGCAGGGGCCUGGCAUGGUGACUCACGCCUGGAAUCCCAGCACUCUGGGAGGCUGAGGCAGGCAGAUCUCCUGAGCCCAGGAGUUCCAGACCAGCCAGUGCAACAUGGCAAAACACCGUCUCUACAAAAAAAUAUAAAAAUUAGCUGGGCAUUGUGGUCCCAGUUACUUGGGAGGCUGAGGUGUGAAGAUCACUUGAUCCCAUGAGACAGCAGUUGCAGUGACCUGAGAUUGCAUCACUUCACUCCAGCCUGAGCAACAGAGUGAGAGCCUUUCUCAAAAAAUAGAUUAGAUAUAGAUACAGAUAUAUAGAUAAGAUGAAAGAAAGAAAGGGGGCAGCGGGGGCAAGGAAAUUCCGCAUCUUAAGGGACUUAAUGGUAUCACUUGAGCACCAACGAAAUAAAGAGAUUUCCUAUUGCAUUGCCAUGGUUAUCAAGGUUUGGGUCUGCGUCUUUCCUUCUGUCUGUACAGCACUCUGUCCUUCUAGUGUGGAUUCUGUUACUGCUAAAUCCCCGGGGUGAGCAGAGAGCAGAGCUGUGGACAAUCAGAGCUCCCUGCUGGCAAUCUUGGUGAGGAUCCUGGCCUUCCUUGGCUUUCCCACCCUGAACCACUCUUUGCUUUGGCUAACCCUCAUCUUAAGAUUUCUACAGGUGAGAUGCCUCUAUAGACUUGUAUAGUAAGCUCUAUCCAUUGUCUGCCCCAAAGGUAUCCUUCCUCUUUCCUUACUAAAAUAAUUAUAAUUCUG